AAAACAGCUCUCUUACUUAGAAACAACUAGGAGGAAAAUACAACAUCCUUCUACUCCCUCACUUCACGACUGAAAAUAUCACAUCUGAGAGACUUAAACCAACAACAAAACUUCACACUGACCUUGAGUUGGGUUUGCCCAUAAUGAAGCUGUAGCAGAAGCGGAAGAGCUCAGACUCUCUGGGAUGGACUCAGCCCUUAGAAUGCAGCGGUUGUUACAGCAUGGUGGAGUGGGUAACCCAGCCUCCCCACUCCUGGGCUCCAUCAGGAAGUCCUCCAUAAGGUCAUCAUACACAGUGACCUUCCCUUUAACCCCCAGCCCUGGGAACAGACAGAGAAGCAGCUCAGACUCCCAGAACUGCUACAGCAAGGUAUGGGCAGGGAUAAAACACGCAGAACAUCACCAUGCUGGACCUCUACUCCUGUAGGGUGCUGUUUGAAGGCUUCUCUGGUCCCUCCCAUGCUUCUAAACUCUAGGAUUUAGAGGCUGUCCCAUUCUUCACGGGGCAGCAUGUGUCCCUUGGAACCAGUGCUCUGCUGAGCUAUCAGAAGUGACUCCUUCUAGAGAGAUGUGGUAGUCAUGCACUUUUGAAACCUGGGAGUGAGGCAGUCUCCUGUCUUGGAUGGCAGCUCCAAAGGUACCAAUGCUAUCAAGGGAUGGAAAUUCUUUGAGGAGAUGGGCAUUUGGGAGUGGGAGUGUGGAACUUUAAGGAUGGGAGUGUUUGAGUAAUUUCAGUUAUAGCACAUUGUCACUGUGUAUUUGAGUUGCUGUCUGGGAACUGACAAGUCUGUUUAUUUUAGUGCAUUUUCUGAAAGUUUUCAAGGGUUCCCAGGAUGGCUGCUCUUUUAUUCAGCUUGUGUUAACCUAAAUAAGACACUAGCCUGCUUCUUUGUCAUCAGGUUCCAACACAGGUCAGAACUAACCGGUGCUUUUCAACUCCAGUUAGGAGUGUGUCCCUCUGUGAUGUUCUCCGUUCUACCUGGGAUUCCAGAAGGGAAACUGUGAGAAAUGCACGAUCAAGACUGCACGCUGAAAACUUAGAUUUCCAAGUACACAGUCCUGCAACAUGUACUUUAAUGCUUGCUUUUUGUUAUAUCCAUUUCUUUCCUCUUCUUGAGUCAGGGCAUGUUUGAUGGGAUGACUGAUUUUGUUUAGUUAAUUUCUGCAGGCUUGCUUUGCCUUCAAGUGCUUACACGGAGGAACUGUCUUAACUAUUGCACUUCAGUAUUCACAGUCUCUUCUGGAUGGCUCUGCCUUUUUUUCCCCUUUGCUAUCCACAGUAACUUAUCUUUCAUCUACAACUAUCUUCUAAACUGUACACUUCAGACCCUCCUGUGCUUGGCAUGCUCACCUCUCUAAAAAUAUCAUCCAUGAACUUUUUAUUCUUCUUAACGUCGUGUAGCAAGGAAAGUUGGCUCUCAAGAUCAGCAAUCUUGCUUCUAGCUGCUCAGGAAAUCACUCCUCUGAUUCACAGUCCUUCAUACCCUACACAAAAGAAAGAAAUAAUGAAAGAAAUUGGCAGCCAAAUCCCACUAUUUCUCCCUACUUCUGAAAAGAUUAAUUAUAAGAAAAAGAGAAGUGUCCAUUUUUGACAGUGCAACAGAAGUUAGGUACUGUGUGGCGUUAUUGCCCCUCUUGCUGUUAUACAUGUAUGAUGUUAGUCUGAGAUGCUUUUAUGAAUUUUGAUUGUUUUUCUUUAAUCUUUUGUUGCGGAGAGAAGAAGAAGAAUGAUCUGGCAUGAACAGGAAUCUCCAUGCCUCUAAGCAAUGACAUUAAGUUACAAUCUUCUAAACCAGCUACAUUUUGUAAUUUUAUGGAAAAAUAAAUAUCCAUCCUUUUCCACAUAUUGCAGCUGUCUUUCCCUGGUUUUUAAAACCAGUCUAAAAUAAAUUAGAAGAAUAGGCCUCUUUCUCUACUCUGUCAUUCAACAGUUAAAGGUAUAAGAAAUUAUAGUCAAUGCUCUUGUUGAAUAGUAGAUAUGUAAUUUAACAAAUGAACUUUCAUUUUAACCCAUUUUAUGUUAAAUACUACCAUAAAACCAUAGAUAUUUAGCAGUAUUACAUUUUUUUAGUGACACUAAGGUUAGUCACUGGAGCCAUUAUAUUCUCAGAUAAAUGAUAAUCACUCUAGUAUUAUUACUAGAAAGACAAACACACAUAAUAAAAUUAGUCAAUUAAAUCUGCAAGUUAAUUUUAUGCAGGAGGGAACAAUGCAUUUUCUGAAGUGCUUCUUUCUUCCAAGGAACUAAGGCCCCAGGUCAGUGGUACCUCAGCAUGGACUUAAAAGUUAAACACAUGCUUAAGUGCUCUCCUGAAUUGAUUCUCUAGUCUCCAAUAAUGUUGUCAAUAGUGAACCAGGCAAUGCUAGAGCAUUUAAUUCACUUAUUUGCAAGAAAUGAAAAAGCACCGCUCAGAAGUGGCUUUAAAAAGUCAGAUAUAAAACCAUUUCUUGGGUUUCUAAGUGUGCCACAAAACCUUGUCAGCUGCCUUUUUUGUUGCUUUUGAGGAAAAGUAACUUACCAUUAAGAAGAAUUAAUGGUACUACCUGACUUCUGAAAAAUCAACUCAGCCAGAUAUUGCUCUGGACAAAUAGAAAUCAAUAAGAAUUAAAAAUGUUAAUCGAGUAUUUCUCACAGGCAGGCCAAUGGAGCUGAUUGUAGCACUUUGUUUAGCACUAGCCAAUCACGCAUCAAAAAAUUGGAAGCCAGGAUGAUAAUGAGCUGAGCCCUAUUCAUUUCUUCCAUUUUCUCAUUGAAUCAACCAUCAUUUGUCCAAAUUCAGUUUGGUCAUCAGUAUAAAUACUCAGCCAAGAAAUACAGAAAACAUUUCAAUAGACACGCAAAACUGAGUCUAGGCCAGUGUUUCCUAGGGAAAGGUGAUUAAACUGGUAGAGCAUCUCACAUCUCCUGUUGUAAUUUUAUAUAAAAUUUCAGAUGUAUUGUAUGGAGGUACAAAUCUGAGCGCUUCCAACUGCUGAAAACACAGACAUCUUCACUGUUGCAACUAAUCCUGCUUGAAGACAAUUACAGCUUGCAAGAUGAAGUAUUCUCAUCUCUCAUGACAUAUUACUAUUGAACAAGACCAACACUUCAGAUCUCCAGCAGUGUUUAUUAUCAAAGCAAUGACCUAAGAUUUCAAACUACCAUAGUAUCUGAGCACCUGACACCCAUAAUGGAUUUUAUCCUCCAAACACUCAUGUGACGUAGGGAGGGUAUUAUCCCCAUUUCACAGAUGGGAAACUGAAGCACAGGGAAGGAUGAAGGGGCUUGUCCCAGGUCACACAGGAAGUUUUGUGACAACCCAAGUCUCUCAAGUCCCAGUCCAGAACUCACUAGAUCAUCCUUCCUGAUCCACUGAGAAACACCUUAGUUAACACAUGUUAAUAGAGGAGUUGUACUUCCAUUGUUAUUUGGUUAUUUAUGUUUAAUAAAAUACAUUUCAAAAUAAACUUAAUACUCUGUUUCA